rnacentral:rRNA from 1 species
UACGUAGGGGGCAAGCGUUAUCCGGAUUUACUGGGUGUAAAGGGGGCGCAGACGGCGAUGCAAGCCAGGAGUGAAAGCCCGGGGCCCAACCCCGGGACUGCUCUUGGAACUGCGUGGCUGGAGUGAAGGAGGGGCAGGCGGAAUUCCUGGUGUAGCGGUGAAAUGCGUAGAUAUCAGGAGGAACACCGGUGGCGAAGGCGGCCUGCUGGACUGCAACUGACGUUGAGGCCCGAAAGCGUGGGGAGCAAACAGG